rnacentral:rRNA from 1 species
CGUGUGUGAAGAAGGCCUUUUGGUUGUAAAGCACUUUAAGCAGUGAAGAAGACCUAACGGUUAAUACCCGUUAGCGAUGACAUUAGCUGCAGAAUAAGCACCGGCUAACUCUGUGCCAGCAGCCGCGGUAAUACAGAGGGUGCAAGCGUUAAUCGGAAUUACUGGGCGUAAAGCGAGCGUAGGUGGCUUGAUAAGUCAGAUGUGAAAUCCCCGGGCUUAACCUGGGAACUGCAUCUGAUACUGUUAGGCUAGAAUAGGUGAGAGGAAGGUAGAAUUCCAGGUGUAGCGGUGAAAUGCGUAGAGAUCUGGAGGAAUACCGAUGGCGAAGGCAGCCUUCUGGCAUCAUAUUGACACUGAGGUUCGAAAGCGUGGGUAGCAAACAGGAUUAGAUACCCUGGUAGUCCACGCCGUAAACGAUGUCUACUAGUCGUUGGGUCCCUUGAGGACUUAGUGACGCAGCUAACGCAAUAAGUAGACCGCCUGGGGAGUACGGCCGCAAGGUUAAAACUCAAAUGAAUUGACGGGGGCCCGCACAAGCGGUGGAGCAUGUGGUUUAAUUCGAUGCAACGCGAAGAACCUUACCUGGUCUUGACAUAUCUAGAAUCUUGUAGAGAUACGAGAGUGCCUUCGGGAAUUAGAAUACAGGUGCUGCAUGGCUGUCGUCAGCUCGUGUCGUGAGAUGUUGGGUUAAGUCCCGCAACGAGCGCAACCCUUGUCCUU